rnacentral:misc_RNA from 1 species
AUAAUGGUAGGUGCUGCAGUUAUUUAGAAUCUUCAGAACUGCGAGAACAUUGAAAAUUUGGUCUUGAUUCUUGAAAUAGGAAGGGAAACCCAUUUUUUUUCCUUUCUUAUGCUUCCAGAUAUCGUGAGCCAUAAGAUUUUACUUUGACUUUCACAUUGACUUAGGCGUGGGGGGAAGUUUAUUGGAUGGGCUCAUCUAAGGUAUUAAUGCCACACUAGAUUUCUACCUAGGACCGACCGAUUAAUGAUACUAUUGUGGUUGAUAAGCAAUAGAUAAAGAACAGCUUGCUUGUGGGAAAAAAUCACUGGCUUUUUGUUUGGAAUAUAACAUAUACAAGAAAAGAAUUGAAUUAAAUUCCCACACAAUCAAACAACUUCUGACUUAUGUUUUCAAACAUGAAAAAUGAUAAAAAAGAAAUUAAUUGAAU